CUGGCGGUCCUAUGGAAGCCAGAGGCCACCACUGGCUUCAAGUAGCAAAAUCCACCGGUAAAGUACCGCCUCAGCGGUAAGGCGGGCAUAAUAAGAAGUGGGAAAUCUGGGGCCUAGCUUUCUUGAAGAUGGCUGCUUCUGUCUCCUCCUGCUCUCUUUAUCAUCGCUUCCACCACCACCCCCCUCACGACCCCUCUCUCCGCCUCCCUCCUCCUGCCAUCCUCCCCAUGCUCGCCACCUCACGGAACCGAAGAGUUCUUGCCCGUGGCAAAUUCGAGAAAUUCGACCGCGGGGACUCUAGCGCCGGCAAUCCCUCGUCGUCCCCCCCCGACUCCGCCCAAUCCCAGACACCCGAUCAAGAACAGCCACAAGAAUCAGAGGACGACAGCGUCUUACCUUCAGAUCUGGUGGAUGCGAUCCGACGGUCAAGUCAAGCGAGCGCUAUGUUCAUAUCUUCAGGGGGAAUGCGAGCAAUAGUAGAACUUUUAAUCCCUCAAUUACAAUUUCUUGAUGCUGAAGGAGCUCAAGCAGAGCUGUGGGAAUUAUCUAGAAUAUUUUUGGAAUCACUAAUAGAAGAAACAGGUAUCCAGAGAGUAAAAGCCAUUUUUCCUGAUGCUGGGGCAGCUGCUCUUCUAAAAUAUCAGUGGAAAGAUGCAAAGUUUGGAUUUUCCAGCUUAAGUGACCGGAAGCCUGUAGAUGAUGAAGAUGAAGUUGUAGUGAUGAUAGUUCCUGAUUAUCAGAUGUUGGAUUAUGUGGAACGCAUUGCAGCUCAUCUUUCAGGUGACCCUCCAAGAUCUCUUAUCAUGUGGAACCCACGCCUUGUCAGUGGAGAUGUUGGAGUUGGAUUUAAUGUCCGCAAGUUGCGUAAAUACUUCUUAAGCACUUUUACUAUCGUUUACUCAUUAAGACCAUUGCCAUCUGGUGCAAUCUUCAGAUGCUAUCCUGGAAUGUGGAAAGUGUUCUAUGACGAUGUAAAUAGGCCAAACAGAUAUCUGCUAGCCAAAGAACAACCCACCCGUCCUGAUGCAGCAGAUAUUGAGGUUAUAUUUGGCAGUGUAGCUGAGAAAUCUGAGGAGCCUUCAUUGUUGGUUGCUGCUUCAAUGCCAAGCAUGCGUUCCACGUUGACGAGAGGACUGCUAGUUGUCUAAGCCCCACUACACCCAGAGUCCCCAUCACCAUCUGGAGGCCCAUGCCCUUGACGAUCAAAAUCUUAAUUGUAGGACGUUCAAAGGAUUAUUGCUGCGAUGCGAAAAGCCCCUGUUCUGGAGGCAAACGAAAAACCCGUCAUUCAGGCACAUCGUCUGUUGAGCUCGGCUUGAUUAGAAGCGCGAUGGUAUUGCGCGUAUUCCAUCAAAAGCAAGAGCUCAUACACACGACUGUUGGAAAGGUUAAGUCGAGGUUGCUGCAAGCGAUGACGGCAACCCAAAAACCAGUAUCUAUAUGUAACAGAGAAUGACCACGGUAUGCAUGAAAAUUCUGUGGGCUUAUCGGGGACAAAUGUUUGAAAUCAUCUAUUAUAUCGCUCACCGAUCUAUUAUAAGAUU